UUCCCCAUACAUUUUUUAAAUCGAUUACUACCAGCGUGACAGCUGCCGCCAUCAUCGUUUUUCUCUUUCUCGCCUCGCUUUUGACAGCGAGAUCAGUCAAAACGAGAUGUCAAACCAGAAAUAUUUUGUUUUGUUUGUUGUGGUCCGCGAUUUAAAUCUCCGUCGGAACGGACACCACAAGCCAUUCCGUCGCCUUUGUCCUUGCCCUCCGGGGUUGCACUCCCUAACGGAACACUUGCCGCUGCUGCUGUCCCAGAUGGAAAAAGGCGCGCGUGGAAUUUUCUGCGCGAAAUGUACAGGUUGAUGGACGCGGCCAACCAGGCCGCGUACGUAGCUGGAUGACCAUUCGGGGGACGCAGAAGAUAAGGAUGUCCUGUCCGGUCUCAAUGAGGUCCAGCGUUUAAAAGCGACUUUGGUUGGAUGGCCAUCCGUGGGCUGAGAAGGGCGGCAGGGAUCAGGAGAACGACGUGUCCAGCACGUCUGGAUCUUGGGUGAUUUCGAAGGUUUCGCUUUUGAGUGGGGAUUUUGCCUUUUUAGCGAGCCUCGACUAGUGAAGUGGCAGCAAUCCAGGACAAUUUGCCGUUGGCCUUAAUUUCAAACGCAGGAAUCUGGUGACCCCACCAGAGUUGACCAGAAAUGCACCAAUCGUGGCAGUUUUCCAGCCAGCGAAACAAUUACCUCUCCAAGUGGUCAGGAAUGAUCUCCAACUGACAACUCCUCACCGCUUCAACCGCUCUUUUGACCAUCGCUUGGCACCGAACGAGUACAUCCUUUGACCACGAACAAACCGGAAGUAACAUCGAGUGAGGUUUAACUCCUCUCAGUCAAAUAGUCCAUCAUCUUGAUGCGAGCUUUGCACCGUGGCAGAUCCGUAAAGUGACCAAACCCAUCCAGAAUCCUCCUCUUGCAGUCAAUCCACUCAACCAGUGGCAGCCGAUGCCUCUUCGCAAGCUCAAAAUCGUACCGAUCGUGUGCCGGUGUUAUUUUGACCGCCCUCGUGCCAAACACCGCGUCAACCGACUCGUCAAAAAACCAGCGGAAUUUCCUCCUUCCGUAUCGGGUGCUACAGCAUGGACGUAAUCCCGCGCAAGCGCGCGUACCACCCGUCGUCGGAUUCACCGCCACCGCCACAUCCCCGAGUAGCGUUUCCGGCCGGGUCGUCGAGAUGACGAUCCUUGAACUUUAUAAGCCACGUCGACCGAAGGUGAUUUUGCUCUUAUAACCCGGAACCUCAACCAGGGUAGGACCGUUGAUUUCCACGUUGUCGACCUCAAUGUCCGAGAUGGCCGACUCGAGAGAGCAACUCCAACUAGCGAUUUAUCUGCUGUACCAGAUGGAAAAAGGCGCCCGUGGAAUUUUCUACGUAAUCUGUACAGGUAAGCUGAGAAGCGUCCGGCUGCUACUGAUUCGAAGGCCGCUAAGGGAGGCAAGAGGCAAGCUCCGACGUUGACUGCUGUUUCCACCGCCUAUACCAAGGAGACUGCGGCCGCCGCCAUGAAGCCAACCCCGGUGCCACUAGAGCGGCUGCUGCCAAGAAGAAGGAAGCUUCCGGAGCGAAGAAGGCUGCCACGAAGAAGCCCACCACCAAGAAGGUCACAGCCACCUACGGCAUCGAAGCCAGGAUGCUGCUAUGGCUCGUGCCGCCGGUUUGCUGAAAACUAAGCGUACCAAGAUCAGGACCGUUUGAAACUCCGUUGGCCGCGUACUAUGCGUCUGUACCGCAACCGCAUACGACAUCAUCAACUGUCCGCUGACGACGGAAGCCGUGAUGGAGAAGGUCGAGGACAGCAACAUGCUGGUGUUCCUGACCCUUCUGCGCGCCAACAAGAACCACGGAAAGAAGUACUCAGUCAAAUUGUCACUAGGGUUGUGACCGGAUGGCGUACGUGCGGCUGGCGCGUGACUGCGACGCCCUGGACAUAGCAAACUAGAUCGGAAUCAUCUAGGCAGUGUGCCGCGUCUUUAGUUCU